rnacentral:rRNA from 1 species
CCUACGGGAGGCAGCAGUGGGGAAUUUUGCGCAAUGGGGGCAACCCUGACGCAGCAACGCCGCGUGAGUGAUGAAGGCCUUCGGGUCGUAAAGCUCUGUCAGAGGGGAAGAAAUGCAGGUGGUGAACAACCAUUCUGUUUGACGGUACCCUCAAAGGAAGCACCGGCUAACUCCGUGCCAGCAGCCGCGGUAAUACGGAGGGUGCGAGCGUUGUUCGGAAUUAUUGGGCGUAAAGCGCGUGUAGGCGGUUUGUUAAGUCUGAUGUGAAAGCCCCGGGCUCAACCUGGGAAGUGCAUUGGAUACUGGCAGACUUGAGUACGGGAGAGGAGAGUGGAAUUCCCGGUGUAGAGGUGAAAUUCGUAGAUAUCGGGAGGAACACCAGUGGCGAAGGCGGCGACCUGGGCCGAUACUGACGCUGAGGUGCGAAAGCGUGGGGAGCAAACAGGAUUAGAUCCCCCGGUAGU